UCCGGUUUGGCACCGGCAGUCGGACUAGAGUCCCCGACAUAACUCGCUGGCAACUAGUCCCAAGGGUUGCGCUCGUUGCGGGACUUAACCCAACAUCUCGCGACACGAGCUGACGACAACCAUGCACCACCUGUACAGGACCCUUGCGGACCCGACAUCUCUGCCGGAUUUCCCUGUAUGUCAAGCCUUGGUAAGGUUCUUCGCGUUGCGUCGAAUUAAGCCACAUGCUCCGCCGCUUGUGCGGGCCCCCGUCAAUUCCUUUGAGUUUUAGCCUUGCGGCCGUACUCCCCAGGCGGGGCGCUUAAUGCGUUAGCUGCGGCACGGAUCCCGUGGAAGGGAACCCACACCUAGCGCCCAACGUUUACGGCGUGGACUAC
rnacentral:misc_RNA from 1 species